AAUGCAGAUGAGCGUCCCCGGGUCUCCGCAGGAGCAAGAGGAAAGAAGUGGAAAAAGUAAAGGAA